rnacentral:tRNA from 2 species
GGGGAUGUAGCUCAGAGGGAGAGCGCCUGCCUUGCAAGCAGGAGGUCGGCGGUUCAAGUCCGCUCAUCUCCA